GUGCAGCAGUCGCGAAUACUUUACAAUGUGCGAAAGCACGAUAAGGGAACUCUGAGUGCCUCCUAAGGAGGCUGUUCAGGUGUCUAAAAGCACCUGAAGGAAGGGCUGGGUAAGACCGGUGCCAGCCGCCGCGGUAACACCGGCAGCCCAAGUGGUAGCCACGUUUAUUGGGUCUAAAGCGUCCGUAGCCGGCUGGGUAAGUUCCUUGGGAAAUUUGGCUGCUUAACAGUCAAGCUUUCAGGGAAUACUGCCCGGCUUGGGACCGGGAGAGGUCAGAGGUACUCCAGGGGUAGGGGUGAAAUCCAUUAAUCCUUGGGGGACCACCGGUAGCGAAGGCGUCUGACCAGACCGGGUCCGACGGUGAGGGACGAAGGCUAGGGGCGCGAACCGGAUUAGAUACCCGGGUAGU
rnacentral:rRNA from 1 species